UACGGGGGGGGUAAGCGUUGUUCGGAAUUACUAGGCGUAAAGGGCUCGUAGGCGGCCAACUAAGUCAGACGUGAAAUCCCUCAGCUUAACUGGGGAACUGCGUCUGAUACUGGAUGGCUUGGAUCCGGAAGAGGGAUGCGGAAUUCCAGGUGUAGCGGUGAAAUGCGUAGAUAUCUGGAGGAACACCGGUGGCGAAGGCGGCAUCCUGGGCCGGUAUUGACGCUGAGGAGCGAAAGCCAGGGGAGCAAACGGG
rnacentral:rRNA from 1 species